GUGCUCGCUUCAGCAGCACAUAUACUAAAAUUGGAAGGAUACAGAGAAGAUUAACAUGGCCCCUGCGCAAGGAUGACACACAAAUUCGUGAAGCGUUCCAUAUUUUC
rnacentral:snRNA from 1 species